AGUGAACGCUGGCGGCAGGCCUAAUACAUGCAAGUCGAACGGCAGCACAGUGGAGCUUGCUCCAUGGGUGGCGAGUGGCGGACGGGUGAGGAAUACAUGGGAAUCUGCCCAGUCGUGGGGGAUAACGUAUGGAAACGUACGCUAAUACCGCAUGCGCCCUUCGGGGGAAAGUCGGGGACCGCAAGGCCUGACGCGAUUGGAUGAGCCCAUGUUCGAUUAGCUAGUUGGCGGGGUAACGGCCCACCAAGGCGACGAUCGAUAGCUGGUCUGAGAGGAUGAUCAGCCACACUGGAACUGAGACACGGGUCCAGACUCCUACGGGAGCAGCAGUAGGGAAUAUUGGACAAUGGGCGCAAGCCUGAUCCAGCCAUGCCGCGUGAGUGAAGAAGGCCCUCGGGUUGUAAACGCUUCUUUUGUUGGGGAAGAAAAGGCAGUUGGUUAAAUACCCGAUUGGUUCUGUACGGUACCAAAGAAUAAGCACCGGCUAACUUCGU
rnacentral:rRNA from 1 species